UACGUAGGGUGCAAGCGUUAAUCGGAAUUACUGGGCGUAAAGCGUGCGCAGGCGGUGAUGUAAGACAGGUGUGAAAUCCCCGGGCUCAACCUGGGAACUGCAUUUGUGACUGCAUCGCUGGAGUGCGGCAGAGGGGGAUGGAAUUCCGCGUGUAGCAGUGAAAUGCGUAGAUAUGCGGAGGAACACCGAUGGCGAAGGCGAUCCCCUGGGCCUGCACUGACGCUCAUGCACGAAAGCGUGGGGAGCAAACAGG
rnacentral:rRNA from 1 species